UGGAUUACAUAUUGGAAUGGUCUGUCAUGGACCCGGUCUAACUUGCUUGAUUUUUUUGUUUUUUCUUUUUUUUAUCAAGGGCCUAACUGGCUUGUUAUUUCGAGUUCUUAAGCAUUUGAUUUGAAGAAAUAUUAAGAAAGUUCUUAUUGCCAUAGCUAACUUAAUCAAUAAGUGAAGUUAUUUACAAGUGAUUCAAAUAUUGAUGAAGUUACCAAAUGGGGAUAAAAAUAUAAACAAAUAAACCAUCAAUUAAUAAUGUCAUUAAUAUCGUAUACAUAUACAUCAAUAAAUAAUAAUAAAACGGCAACCAUAAUAGCAACAAAGAAUGAAUCAACCUCAAAAAAAAAAAAAAGGAAAGAAAGAAAAAGCACCCUCUCUCCAAAAUUUAUAACAUAACAUUACUCCAAUUCAGAACAUCUAAUGCUUCAAAAGACCCAUAAGAGAAACCAAAAGAGAUGCUCCAAUUACAGCACCAGAAACUGGCAAAGAAAACCCAGCUCCAGCAUCCAUCCCAGGAGCAGGUGCAGGUGCCUCUUGAGCAGAAACCGCCACCACCAAAGCUGCCAUUACAGCAAUCAGAGCAAAUACAUUGAAGAUGCUAACUUGGGCCAUUGCUAAAUUCACCAAAGAAAACACAGAGAAACAAAAAUAGAAAACUAAAUGAAAGAUAGAGAGAGAGAGAGAUUGAUUUGAUAUGUUUCUUUGGUUGGGUUUAGCAGAAGAAGAGAGGAUGUGUUAUGUUUAUGUUGUGAGCUGUGAGAUAAUGGGUAUUUAUAGGGCCUUAAAAGACAGUUUCUUUUGAGGAGGACUGAAAUGUAAUUACGGGUUUUGUCUGCAACGUUCGAUUAACGGUAACAACCGUACUUUUUUAAAACAAUUUUGGGUAGCGUGUAUAGCACAGCUGUCCGACACGUGGCUGGGAAAUAAGUGGUGUAAGAAGCGCAGUCAGCGGACGGCGCCGUAUCUUAUUUUGACACUUUAGAUGGUUUAUUCCUUUUCUUUUGGGUUCUUUGAAAUUCAAUUCUGUGUCUUGCAAAAUCUAUGUCCGUAGCAAUUAUUAGAUGGAUA
rnacentral:lncRNA from 1 species